GGUCGGGUGGUGUAGUUGGUUAUCACAUCUCGUUAACACUUAUGUUAAUAUCUUAGCGAUAAGAUGCCGAGAAGGUCCUGGGAUCGAGCCCCAGCUUGAUCA
rnacentral:tRNA from 1 species